AUGGAGGAUGAGAGAGUUGAUAGAAAGAGAGCGAGGUUGUUUGAAGACCUGCGGCAGGGGUGGAGCAAGCUGCGUGGCCCAUGUCCCGGACGAAUGGGCGCUCCUCUCGAGCGUCCUCCUCCCGACGGCAGGACAUGCACGGGGCGGCAGAUCCGGCUGCUCCGGCGUGGAUCCGGCGACGGGGCGGACAGAUCGAGGCGGAGGAGCACGAGGCCGACCGAGAGGUGGCUAGCCGGAGGCGGUCAGAGCUCAUGGCAGCGGGGGUGCUGCCUGGUUGUUCGGAUCGACGCGGAGGAGCACGAGGCCGACGAAGAGGUGGCCGGCCCGGCGGCGGGGCGAUCUCCAAGGUAG
rnacentral:rRNA from 1 species